UACGAAGGGGGCUAGCGUUGUUCGGAAUUACUGGGCGUAAAGCGCACGUAGGCGGAUAUUUAAGUCAGGGGUGAAAUCCCAGAGCUCAACUCUGGAACUGCCUUUGAUACUGGGUAUCUUGAGUAUGGAAGAGGUAAGUGGAAUUGCGAGUGUAGAGGUGAAAUUCGUAGAUAUUCGCAGGAACACCAGUGGCGAAGGCGGCUUACUGGUCCGGAACUGACGCUGAGGUGCGAAAGCGUGGGGAGCAAACAGGG
rnacentral:rRNA from 1 species